GAUGAACGCUGGCGGCGUGCCUAAUACAUGCAAGUCGAGCGAACAGAUGAGGGGCUUGCUCCUCUGACGUUAGCGGCGGACGGGUGAGUAACACGUGGAUAACCUACCUAUAAGACUGGGAUAACUUCGGGAAACCGGAGCUAAGACCGGUUAAUAUAUUUAACCGCAUGGUUCAAUAGUGAAAGACGGUUUUGCUGUCACUUAUAGAUGGAUCCGCGCCGCAUUAGCUAGUUGGUAAGGUAACGGCUUACCAAGGCAACGAUGCGUAGCCGACCUGAGAGGGUGAUCAGCCCCACUGGAACUGAGACACGGCCCAGACUCCUACGGGAGGCAGCAGUGGGGAAUCUUCCGCAAUGGGCGAAAGCCUGACGGAGCAAAGCCGCGUGAGUGAUGAAGGUCUUCGGAUCGUAAAACUCUGUUAUUAGGGAAGAACAAAUGUGUAAGUAACUAUGCACGCCUUGACGGUACCUAAUCAGAAAGCCACGGCUAACUACGUG
rnacentral:rRNA from 1 species